UACGGAGGGUGCAAGCGUUACUCGGAAUCACUGGGCGUAAAGGACGCGUAGGCGGGUUGUCAAGUCAGGUGUGAAAUCCUACAGCUUAACUGUAGAGCUGCACUUGAAACUGGCAGCCUAGAGUAUGGGAGGGGGAGACGGAAUUAGUGGUGUAGGGGUAAAUCCGUAGAUAUCACUAGGAAUACCUAAAGCGAAGGCGAUCUCCUGGAACAUUACUGACGCUAAGGCGUGAAAGCGUGGGGAGCAAACAGG
rnacentral:rRNA from 1 species